ensembl:antisense
ACAACUCUUCACGCAAACCAGAGUAGUAGACGUUACACUCCCCUACUCUUUAGGCCCGGGCCUUCGGAAAGCUGCCAAUUCGCAGCAAGACAAGUUCAGCUGUACCAAGUGUGCACUAAGGUUGCCCAGGAGCCGGCUUCAAGUGACCCAGGCUAGGGUUCGAGGCUUCGGGAAGGAAAGGAGUAAGAGGACAGCCCGAGAAAACCACGCGCCCGGACCUGCAGAUUCCCCAGACAACUUCCUCCCUUCUUCCCGGGCCUAAGGCGCCACUACCGCUUCCGCACGGUGCACAUCACCUGUACAAAGGUGUGUCUUUCGCUGCAAGAACUGCAAGUGUGCCUGGUGGUCCUUCCGAGCGGUCUCAGCUUUCACAUCCUCCAGUUCCUUCUCUAACAUCUGGAUUUUCAUCUCCUGGCUCUUCUUUAUGGAGGAAAUGUGCUCCAUUGACUGAAACUGCUGCUCCAACUGGGACUGCUUGAUUUUUCCCUGGAAGAGUUGUGUUUGAAGCUCCUCAGUUUGCUUGGCGAACCUGAGUGUCAGUUCUUGUUUCCUUCGAAUAAUCUCCUCAAGAUCCUGAACAUACUGAUUCCACAGUUGCCCGUGUUUCUUUUUACACUGCUCACUUUGCUUCCUUAAGACUCUCAAAAAGCAGUUCUUCUCAGCGUCCACACAGAGAGCUUCACGCUGCAGCAGCCUGCUGUCUUGCAGCAGGCGCUCCUGCUGGAGCCUGGCCCCUUCUAUUUUUCUGCUCAGGCUCUCCAGUGCCUCCAUUGUCUUGUUUUUUACCUCCUUCUCUAAUUCUGUCAGCCUCUCUGACUUGAAAAGUUCAUUUAGAAUAGUAAGAUACGUUGAUGGCUGAGGAGAACCUUUUGAACUCUGGGCAAACCUGGAGGAAGAACAAAGGAAAUAUUCUUUUAUCAGUUCUCUAGGCACAAGUGAGAAAAUAAUAUCUGAAAACUAAACCUUUGGGUUCCAUCAUGUCCAAGAAGGGUCAGUGCGGGUUAGAUUUUUGACAAGUUGGUACAUUCAGGAAAUUUUUGACAAGUUGGUACAUUCAGGAACUAUCUGGGAGGAGGAACUGAAUCGAGAAAAGGGACUCCAUCAGAUUAUCUGUAGAACAGACAGACACACACUCUCUCUCUCUCAAAGAUUUAUUUAUUUUUAUAUCUUAAGUACACUGUAGCUGUCUUCAGACACGCCAGAAGAGGGCAUCAGAUCUCAUUACGGUUGGUUGUGAGGCACCAUGUGAUUGCUGGGAUUUGAACUCAGGACCUCCGGAAGAGCAGUCAGUGCUCUUAACUGCUGAGCCAUCUCUCCAGCCCCUCUGUCUCUUCAAAUUAAAGAUAGAUUGAUGUGGGUAGGCCCAGCCCUUGAGGGUAAGGUGACACCCCUAGGCAGGUGGUCCUUAACUGAAUACGAAAGCAGUCCAAGCAACUGAACAAUUUAUCUCUGUGGCUUCUGCUUCAGUUCCUGCCUCCAGGUUCCUGUCUUGAGCUCCUGGCCCUGACUUCUUUGGAUGAUGAACUGUGAUACAGAAGAAAAAGAUGAAAUAAACCCUUUCUCAAUG